CAACUUUUGACAAUGGAUCUCUUGGUUCUCGCAACGAUGAAGAACGCAGCACAAUGCGAUAAGUAGUGUGAAUUGCAGAAUACGUGAAUCAUCGAAUCUUCGAACGCAUAUUG
rnacentral:rRNA from 1 species